rnacentral:ncRNA from 1 species
CACCCCGGUGCGACCUGCGCCUCCUAUGAACUACCCACUGGGGAUAAAGCACCCCACCAAGCCCCACCCCUCCCUCCCGCCGCGCAAACUCACUCCCGCGAGUGAAUAUGCCCAACUGGGCUGGAUUCGCACCCGGUUGCCUGCCUUACGCUCACCGCAGCAAGAAGCAACCCCAGACAUGCGACGGCCCCCGCCGGGAGUAGCGAUCCCUGCGAGGGCCUGACCACCGAGGAAGCUAGGACCUUCCUG